GGGGGCGCGCUCCCGGCCGGCCGCGCGCUCCCUCAGCCUCGGCUGUGCCCCAGCUCCGGCCGGGCCUCUCCGGGCGCUGCCAGCGCGGGCGCUUGGUGUGCACGCCUGCAGUGAGUGCACGCCUGCAUGUUGCAGGAGACAGUUUGUCCUGACUGAAUUCCCAAUGACCUGAAAAGACUGACCAAGUCCAGGCAUUUGAACCAAUUUUUAACUUCAAAUGAUGAGUGCUCAGCUACCUGACAGAUUCCAGUUUGGAAAAAUCCAUCUUUCCAGGAGUGAUGGAGCAGAUGUGUCUACUUUAGCAAUGGGCAGCCUAGAAGAUGGACAUUUGACAGGCGACAAUAGACUGCUCCUUUCCCAGGUAUCUCCUGCUUGUUUCCUUUAUCUGUGAAUAGGAAAUGGCUUAAAGGCACCUGUGUUAUGAAGGUCCCAGGGGCAGCUGCCUGACUAGUGAAUGCCUGAUUAUGUGUUAACAUGCUUUGUCAGAUAUUGGCAGAAUCUGUUCUCUUCUUUUGCCUUUUCAGCAAGGGUACCAUUGACAGACUGGCUACCCAUUUAUAGAAAUGUUGUCCAUCAAACUGUGAG
rnacentral:lncRNA from 1 species